rnacentral:rRNA from 1 species
UGCGGUUAAAAAGCUCGUAGUUGGAUUUCUGUCCGAGACGGCCGGUCCGCACUUAGUGCGUGUAUCUGGUUCGGCUAGGGCAUCCUCUUGGGGAUCGUUUCUGUGCUUUAUUGCAUGGGGCGGAAUUCAAGACUUUUACUUUGAGGAAAUUAGAGUGUUCACGGCAAGCAAUCGCUUUGAAUACAUUAGCAUGGAAUAAUAAUAUAGGGCGUAAGUUCUAUUUUGUUGGUUUCUAGGACAUACGCAAUGAUUAAUAGGGACAAUUGGGGGCAUUCGUAUUAACGCGUCAGAGGUGGAAUUCUUAGAUUGCGUUACGACGAACUACUGCGAAAGCAUUUGCCAAGGAUGUUUUCCAUUGAUCAAGAACGAAAGUAUGGGGAUCGAAGACGAUUAGAUACCGUCGUAGUCUAUACCAUAAACUAUGCC